rnacentral:rRNA from 1 species
UACGAAGGGGGCUAGCGUUGUUCGGAAUCACUGGGCGUAAAGCGCACGUAGGCGGAUGUGUCAGUCAGGGGUGAAAUCCCGGGGCUCAACCUCGGAACUGCCUCUGAUACAACACGUCUUGAGUCCGGAAGAGGUGGGUGGAAUUCCUAGUGUAGAGGUGAAAUUCGUAGAUAUUAGGAAGAACACCGGUGGCGAAGGCGACCCACUGGUCCGGUACUGACGCUGAGGUGCGAAAGCGUGGGGAGCAAACGGG